UACGUAGGGUGCAAGCGUUGUCCGGAAUUAUUGGGCGUAAAGAGCUCGUAGGCGGUUUGUCGCGUCUGCUGUGAAAACCCGAGGCUCAACCUCGGGCCUGCAGUGGGUACGGGCAGACUAGAGUGCGGUAGGGGAGAUUGGAAUUCCUGGUGUAGCGGUGAAAUGCGCAGAUAUCAGGAGGAACACCGAUGGCGAAGGCAGGUCUCUGGGCCACUACUGACGCUGAGAAGCGAAAGCAUGGGGAGCGAACAGG
rnacentral:rRNA from 1 species